ACGAAUCAUUUGAACCUUCAAUUGAUCAUAGAAGCUGUAAACAGCUUCCCUCGAUCUGUCUCACAUCAGGAUGAUCAUGAGCCUAUAAAUAUAUGCCUAAACCUUUCAAAAGUUUCAGUACCCUCAAUUGAAAUAUAUACAAAUUCCUGCAACAUUAACUCAUUAGAGAGGCCGAUAUAUAUCAAUCAUGAAGAACUCCGGAAGAUUUAUCGUGUUGUUUUUGGUCCUGUUUUCAUGUCUGCUAUCCCUUUCUGAAGGAAAUAUAAAAUAUUGCCCAGCAGAGAUGAAGGCUCAAGGCCAAUGUAGCGGCAUGUUUGGAGCUGCCGAUUGCUUCCAUCAGAUGAGGGCCAUAUACGGAGAAGCCCCAUCUCCGCCUACAAAUUGCAAAUGCAAUCCCAUUCCCAACGAUCAGCAGAAUUACAAGUGCAAAUGCGAUGUUGCUUGUUAAUGCGCGCGCACUGCAAUAGCUAGCUAGGUGUGUGCAUGCCGCCGUCUCAUGCAUGCUUACCAUUAAUCUGAUCAAUAUUAAUGAUCGAUGCAUGAAUUCAUGCAUGUAUCAUCGUCGAUCUUAAUUUGUAACUUCUUGAAUAUUGUCUAAACUUAUUGAUAUGUAUAACAAUAAUGAUUGACGUCU